UACAGAGGGGGCAAGCGUUGUUCGGAAUUACUGGGCGUAAAGGGCGCGUAGGCGGCCCGCUAAGUCGAACGUGAAAUCCCCGAGCUCAACUCGGGAACUGCGUCCGAUACUGGCGGGCUUGAAUCCGGGAGAGGGAUGCGGAAUUCCAGGUGUAGCGGUGGAAUGCGUAGAUAUCUGGAGGAACACCGGUGGCGAAGGCGGCAUCCUGGACCGGCAUUGACGCUGAGGCGCGAAAGCUAGGGGAGCAAACGGG
rnacentral:rRNA from 1 species